rnacentral:rRNA from 1 species
UACGAAGGGGGCUAGCGUUGCUCGGAAUCACUGGGCGUAAAGCGCACGUAGGCGGGUCUUUAAGUCAGGGGUGAAAUGCCAAGGCUCAACCUUGGAACUGCCUUUGAUACUGGAGACCUUGAGUCCGGGAGAGGUGAGUGGAAUUGCGAGUGUAGAGGUGAAAUUCGUAGAUAUUCGCAAGAACACCAGUGGCGAAGGCGGCUCACUGGCCCGGUACUGACGCUGAGGAGCGAAAGCGUGGGUAGCAAACAGG